rnacentral:misc_RNA from 1 species
GCAAACUUGGUCAUUUAGAGGAAGUAAAAGUCGUAACAAGGUUUCCGUAGGUGAACCUGCGGAAGGAUCAUUACUGAGUGGCUGUAAUCGUGCUUCUCUUCGGAGACGCGAAGCUACCCGACCUGAUGUCAUUUUAUCCGAGGGCGCGCCCGCUUCAGACAGCGGUUCGACGUUGGGAGUUACCCGGAUGAGGCGUUGUCUCGAAAGGGGAAGCUUCCGGGCCGGGCCGUGGCGCGUCUCUUGGCACAACUUUCCGCGGAAGUGGUAGGCGUUGACCUGCCCGCCGCGGGCCAUACUUUUCACAAUUCUUGAAGAAAACCUGAAGUCUGAACCCAAAAGAACGAAAUGAAAAGCAAAACUUUCAACAACGGAUCUCUUGGCUCUGGCAUCGAUGAAGAACGCAGC